GGCACCAGUGAGAGAUGGAUGACAGGAGGAGCAGUGACAGGGUAUUUCAUCCCCACUCAUUGUUUUGAAAUCACAUCUCUGGCAGUAACUAUGUCCACCCACUAAGACAGCUGCAUUCCCUGCAGUCCCAGGGCUCACUGGGUUCCAGUACACUAUUUCCUCUGCUCAGCCCGAGUCCUAGGUGACUUAACGGCUGCCUGCUUUCAGUCCCUGGAUAGAGCACCCCACCAUCCUCUGUUUGAUUCCAACCCAUGUCCCUAUAACUCCUUUUAUUAAAGUCUUAUCUGAACCAUCCAGAAUGAAUUCCGUUUCCUGCUGGGACCCUGAUUGAUAUAGCAAUACAGGAGGUCAACAACCUGCCUGGGAGUUUUGAAGCAGGACAGGAAUCCAGACUCAACAUGCCAUCAUGGCUCAGAGGAAGCCAAAUGCAGGAUUACAUGAUAGGCCAGAAGCUGGGUCAUGGUCUACCAGGCCAGAUAAGCCACUCCAGGGAAAGCAGCUGCUGUGUCGCCAGCACAUUCAGCAGCCUGUAGAGAGGCACCUGUGGCGGGAAGGGAGGCCUCUGGACAUCAGCCAGCGAGGGACCGAGGCCUGCCAACAACCACAUGAGCGAGCUUGGAAAUGGAUUAUCCAGCCCCAGUCAAGCCUUGAUGGGACUGCAGCUGCUGCCAACAGCUUGACUGCUACCUUGUGAGAGACAGCGAGCCAGGGCCGCCCAGCUAAGCUGCUCCCCAUUUUCUGCCCCUCAGAAACCGUGAGAGAUAAUAAGUGUUUGUUGUUUCAAGCUGUUAAAUUUGGGGGUAAUUUGUUACACAGCAAUAGAUAACUAAAACAACUUUGUACUACUAAACAUUAAAAAUUAUCUAGGAAAUUACGUUUCCAUCUUUGUCCAAGCUGCUAAGAAGUACAAACUGAAUACGAUUCUUGAUUUCACUUGCCUGAAAUUGUUGGUUUUUCCUCUUCCCCAUUCCCUUUAUUUUUUUAUUCUCAUACUUCAUUUUCUAUCUACUGACUUUGGUUUUAUCCUAUUUACACAUUUAUUGCAAAGCUCUUAGAGACUUUUUUUUUAAAUCAGAUGAGAGACAAAACAACAAAGUAAAGACAGUAAACAUCAGACAGGAUUCCAGCCACCAUCAGAGAGAUGAAAAAUCUCAGAGAGAAAAAAGAGCAAUACAGCACAGCCCGUUACUAGUGUUCAACUAACUAGCAAUUGCUCUUAGAAUUCAAAGAAAUGAUACACCAGAAAAAAUGUGUUUUUGGUCAAUUUCCCCUGAAGCAGACCUUGAGAUAGGAUUUGCAUUAUGAAAGUGCUCUUAAAAUAAACUGCUAAGGGAAUGGGGAAAGCCAGAACAGA